rnacentral:rRNA from 1 species
UAUGGCGACCGGCGCACGGGUGAGUAACACGUAUCCAACCUGCCGAUGACUCGGGGAUAGCCUUUCGAAAGAAAGAUUAAUACCCGAUGGCAUAGUUCUUCCGCAUGGUAGAACUAUUAAAGAAUUUCGGUCAUCGAUGGGGAUGCGUUCCAUUAGGUUGUUGGCGGGUAACGGCCCACCAAGCCCUCGAUGGAUAGGGGUUCUGAGAGGAAGGUCCCCCACAUUGGAACUGAGACACGGUCCAA